rnacentral:rRNA from 1 species
CCUGCUCAAUAUAAUAACCAAUAGCCGCUAAUUUGUGCUAAGGUAGCAUAAUAACUUGUUUCUUAAUUGGAAAAUAGAAUGAAAGGACACACGUUUAUAUUCUUUUUUUAUAAUAUAUAUCUAAAUUGUAACAAAAAUUAAAAUAUUUUUAUAAACAGGAAGACGACAAGACCCUAAGAACUUAACUAAAAGAUUAACUGGGGAAGUACAAUAAUUAAAUUUUUUUUACAAUUUUAAAAUACAAGCUCUUGGAAAAAAAACAAAGUUACCUUAGGGAUAACAGCGUAAUUUAUAUUUAAAGUCCUUAUUAAAAUAUAAUCAUACGACCUCGAUGUUGAAUUAAUAUUCCUAUAGUAAGUAUUUCUACUAAAUGGGAGUCUGUUCGACUCUUAAUAUAUUACAU